ACUGACGCUGAGGCUCGAAAGCGUGGGGAGCAAACAGGAUAGAUACCUGGUAGUCACGCCGUAAACGAUGAGUGCUAAGUGUUGGAGGUUUCCCCUUCAGUGCUGCAGCAAACGCAUUAAGCACUCCGCUGGGGAGUACGACCGCAAGGUUGAAACUCAAAGGAAUUGACGGGGGCCCGCACAAGCGGUGGAGCAUGUGGUUUAAUUCGAAGCAACGCGAAGAACCUUACCAGGUCUUGACAUCCUUUGACCACUCUAGAGAUAGAGCUUUCCCUUCGGGGACAAAGUGACAGGUGGUGCAUGGUUGUCGUCAGCUCGUGUCGUGAGAUGUUGGGUUAAGUCCCGCAACGAGCGCAACCCUUAUUGUUAGUUGCCAUCAUUUAGUUGGGCACUCUAGCGAGACUGCCGGUGACAAACCGGAGGAAGGUGGGGAUGACGUCAAAUCAUCAUGCCCCUUAUGACCUGGGCUACACACGUGCUACAAUGGGAAGUACAACGAGUCGCUAGGCCGCGAGGUCAUGCAAAUCUCUUAAAGCUUCUCUCAGUUCGGAUUGUAGGCUGCAACUCGCCUACAUGAAGCCGGAAUCGCUAGUAAUCGCGGAUCAGCACGCCGCGGUGAAUACGUUCCCGGGCCUUGUACACACCGCCCGUCACACCACGAAAGUUUGUAACACCCGAAGUCGGUGAGGUAACCUUUUGGAGCCAGCCGCCUAAGGUGGGAUAGAUGAUUGGGGUGAAGUCGUAACAAGGUAACCA
rnacentral:rRNA from 1 species